GGAGAGAUGUCAGAGUGGUCUAACGUGCCCGCUUGGAAAGCGAGUAUACCGAAAGGUAUCGGAGGUUCGAAUCCUCUUCUCUCCGCCA
rnacentral:tRNA from 1 species